CCCGGGCCUUGUACACACCGCCCGUCACACCAUGGGAGUUGGUUUUACCUUAAGACGGUGCGCUAACCGCAAGGAAGCAGCCGGCCACGGUAAGGUCAGCGACUGGGUG
rnacentral:rRNA from 1 species